rnacentral:rRNA from 1 species
AUUGAACGCUGGCGGCAUGCCUUACACAUGCAAGUCGAACGGCAGCAUGGAGAGCUUGCUCUCUGAUAGCGAGUGGCGAACGGGUGAGUAAAGCAUCGGAACGUACCGUGUAGUGGGGGAUAACGUAGCGAAAGUUACGCUAAUACCGCAUACGCACUGAGGUGGAAAGCAGGGGAUCGUAAGACCUUGCGCUAUACGAGCGGCCGAUGUAAGAUUAGCUAGUUGGUAGGGUAAAGGCCUACCAAGGCGACGAUCUGUAGCGGGUCUGAGAGGAUGAUCCGCCACACUGGGACUGAGACACGGCCCAGACUCCCACGGGAGGCAGCAGUGGGGAAUUUUGGACAAUGGGGGCAGCCCUGAUCCAGCCAUGCCGCGUGAGUGAAGAAGGCCUUCGGGUUGUAAAGCUCUUUCGGCCGGGAAGAAAUCGCACAGGCUAAUACCCUGUGUGGAUGACGGUACCGGCAUAAGAAGCACCGGCUAACUACGUGCCAGCCGCCGCAGUAA